GCCUAAUACAUGCAAGUCGAACGAAUCUCUUUUAGAGAUGAGUGGCGAACGGGUGAGUAAUACAUAGGUAACCUGCCCCUGUGCGGGGGAUAACAGGAGGAAACUCCUGCUAAUACCGCAUAGCCAUGAGCACCGCAUGGAGCUCAUGCCAAAUAUCCUUUAUGGGAUAGCGCAGGGAUGGACCUAUGGCGCAUUAGCUGGUUGGCGGGGCAACGGCCCACCAAGGCAACGAUGCGUAGCCGGCCUGAGAGGGCGGACGGCCACAUUGGGACUGAGACACGGCCCAGACUCCUACGGGAGGCAGCAGUAGGGAAUUUUCGGCAAUGGGGGAAACCCUGACCGAGCAACGCCGCGUGAGCGAAGAAGGCCUUCGGGUCGUAAAGCUCUGUUGUAAAGGAAGAACGGCGCAUACAGGAAAUGGUAUGCGAGUGACGGUACUUUACCAGAAAGCCACGGCUAACUACGUGCCAGCAGCCGCGGUAAUACGUAGGUGGCGAGCGUUAUCCGGAAUCAUUGGGCGUAAAGAGGGAGCAGGCGGCCGCAAGGGUCUGUGGUGAAAGACCGAAGCUAAACUUCGGUAAGCCAUGGAAACCGGGCGGCUAGAGUGCGGAAGAGGAUCGUGGAAUUCCAUGUGUAGCGGUGAAAUGCGUAGAUAUAUGGAGGAACACCAGUGGCGAAGGCGACGGUCUGGGCCGCAACUGACGCUCAUUCCCGAAAGCGUGGGGAGCAAAUAGGAUUAGAUACCCUAGUAGUCCACGCCGUAAACGAUGGUCACUAAGUGUCGGGGGUCAAACCCCGGUGCUGCAGUCAACGCAAUAAGUGACCCGCCUGAGUAGUACGUUCGCAAGAAUGAAACUCAAAGGAAUUGACG
rnacentral:rRNA from 1 species